rnacentral:sRNA from 1 species
GUGAUGGCACAGCUGAACAUUGAUCAUUCAGAGAUAGGCAGAUAUGCUCAGUACGUGUAGUCACGUAGUCGAUUCC